rnacentral:rRNA from 1 species
GUGAGGAAUAUUGGUCAAUGGGCGGGAGCCUGAACCAGCCAAGUCGCGUGAAGGAAGAAGGAUCUAUGGUUCGUAAACUUCUUUUGCAGGGGAAUAAAGUGCAGGACGUGUCCUGUUUUGUAUGUACCCUGAGAAUAAGGAUCGGCUAACUCCGUGCCAGCAGCCGCGGUAAUACGGAGGAUCCGAGCGUUAUCCGGAUUUAUUGGGUUUAAAGGGUGCGUAGGUGGUUUUAUAAGUCAGCGGUGAAAGUUUGCAGCUUAACUGUAAAAAUGCCGUUGAAACUGUCGGACUUGAGUGUAAAUGAGGUAGGCGGAAUGCGUGGUGUAGCGGUGAAAUGCAUAGAUAUCACGCAGAACUCCGAUUGCGAAGGCAGCUUACUAAGCUACAACUGACACUGAAGCACGAAAGCGUGGGGAUCAAACAGGAUUAGAUACCCUGGUAGUCC